AGAUAAAAUCUUGUUUUUCUUGCUUAAUGUCAUUGUUGCUGAAAGAAGUUUUUUUUUUUGCUUAUUUAAUUUUAAUUCUUAAACUAGCUGACAAAAGUUUUGUGUCUUGCAGUGAUGAAGCAAUAACAUGCAAGAAGGAUCCAUUUGUUGGAUUCUUAUGUGAAAUAUACUUGUUACGCUUGGCUUCUGAGCUUCCAAAGUUUAAAUAGUGCAUAUUCGAUGAGAAGGAUUGUAGAAUAUCAUU